AGUAUGCAGUUCCAUUUAUCAUAAACCAACAGAAUUUAAAAGUGAAACAUUUUUAUCAGGUGCAAGUACAGAAUAUUUAAAAAAUCCUCUUAAUUUACAGAAUAUUCAUAAAAUAUCCUCUUAAAAAGAUAACUCGGAGUCUGGAUAGAUUAUGCCAAUAAUAUUGGCAAGAGAAAUAUUGAUCAUAUCAAAUCUUUCUCUCACUCCACAAGGACCACAAAUAUGGUCCUAAGGGUAAACUUUCAGUGCUUUGGACAGCUUUAUGAGAUACCUAUACCCCCAAGCAAGAACUUGUACUGAAAUGGAGCAUCCAUACAUUUACAAGACUAUAGUUCAUGCCUCAAUCAGUAAGAGCAAAGCCAAAUAAUAUUGGUGCCAACAGAUCAAAUUGUUAAACCAAUUGAUCACACAGAAUCCUUCGCUGACACCCAUACCCUGGAUUAUAUAUCUCCAACACAAAAGUCAACACACACAGCUUGACUCAUAAAACAUACAAUGUGCACAGAUGCACUGAAUGACUAAUUUCUCUAAAACGGACACACCUCAUGAAAAUAAGAGAAUACUUAAUUUAUUCAAGAUUGAACAAAAUUUACAUACUUCUGUGACUCAAUGAUUGGCAAA
rnacentral:misc_RNA from 1 species